rnacentral:rRNA from 1 species
CAGUCGCCGCGGUAAUACGAAGGGUGCAAGCGUUAAUCGGAAUUACUGGGCGUAAAGCGCGCGUAGGCGGUUUGUUAAGUCUGUUGUGAAAUCCCCGGGCUCAACCUGGGAAUGGCAAUGGAUACUGGCAAGCUAGAGUGUGUCAGAGGAUGGUGGAAUUCCCGGUGUAGCGGUGAAAUGCGUAGAGAUCGGGAGGAACAUCAGUGGCGAAGGCGGCCAUCUGGGACAACACUGACGCUGAGGCACGAAAGCGUGGGGAGCAAACAGGAUUAGAUACCCCAGUAGUCCCUGUCUCUUAUAC